rnacentral:rRNA from 1 species
AGUAACACGUGAGCAAUCUGCCCUUGACUCUGGGAUAACUGCGGGAAACUGUAGCUAAUACCGGAUACGACGCUUGGAGGCAUCUCCGGGCGUGGAAAGAAUUUCGGUCAAGGAUGAGCUCGCGGCCUAUCAGCUAGUUGGUGAGGUAAUGGCUCACCAAGGCGACGACCGGUAGCCCGCCUCCACACGGUGACCGGCCACACUGGGACUGAGANAAGGNANAAACUCCUNNNGGAGGCAGCNGUGGG